AUGCACAGACCCAGAAGACCCCUCCGUCCUGGAGCACCUGCCAUGAGCAUCAGCCUCCUGUGUUGUGCAGCCUUCUCUCUCCUGUGGGCAGGUCCAGUGAAUGCUGGUGUCACUCAGACCCCAAAAUUCCGCAUCCUGAAGACAGGACAGAGCAUGACACUGCAGUGUGCCCAGGAUAUGAACCAUAACUACAUGUACUGGUAUCAACAAGACCCAGGCAUGGGGCUGAAGCUGAUUUAUUACUUAGUUGUUGCUGGUACUACUGAUAAAGGAGAAGUCUCCGAUGGCUACAGUGUCUCCAGAUCAACCACAGAGGAUUUCCCGCUCAGGCUGGAGUCGGCUGCUCCCUCCCAGACUUCUGUGUACUUCUGUGCCAGCAGUUACUCCACAGCGCUGCAAGGCUGUCUCCUCUCUGCACAUAAAGGCAGGGAGGCUCUGCCCUCCUCCCCCACCCAAGACUCAGGGUUGACCUGGGCAGAGUUUUCUGCAAUGGAGACCUUGGAACCCCGAGUGGCCCUAAGUGGCCUGGACAGGCCACUACAAGUUUGCGAGUGUAACAGAUUUAUGAUCAGAAUUAGACUUCAUGCAUAUGUGGGAGGAGCUGAGGAAGACAAGGUCUGGAGGAGAGAAGUCAGAAGUCUGGGCCUCACUGGAAUGUCACAGACUACCAUCGAAAAAAUGGAUUCCCAGUAUGAAGAAUAUUAG